GACCUGCAGAUGGAUCAUUU
rnacentral:rRNA from 1 species